rnacentral:rRNA from 1 species
AUUGAACGCUGGCGGCAUGCCUUACACAUGCAAGUCGAACGGCAGCACGGGGGCAACCCUGGUGGCGAGUGGCGAACGGGUGAGUAAUACAUCGGAACGUGCCCAGUAGUGGGGGAUAGCCCGGCGAAAGCCGGAUUAAUACCGCAUACGACCCACGGGUGAAAGCGGGGGUCCGCAAGGCCUCGCGCUAUUGGAGCGGCCGAUGUCAGAUUAGGUUGUUGGUGGGGUAAAGGCCUACCAAGCCUGCGAUCUGUAGCUGGUCUGAGAGGACGACCAGCCACACUGGGACUGAGACACGGCCCAGACUCCUACGGGAGGCAGCAGUGGGGAAUUUUGGACAAUGGGCGCAAGCCUGAUCCAGCCAUGCCACGUGCGGGAAGAAGGCCUUCGGGUUGUAAACUUCUUUUAUAUGGGACGAAACCCGGGUAUUCCUACCCGAUUGACGGUACCAUAGGAAUAAGCACCAGCUAACUCCGUGCCAGCCGCCGCCGUAACAC